rnacentral:tRNA from 2 species
UGCCUCGUGGGGUAAUCGGUAGCCCACCGGAUUUUGGUUCCGGACAGUUCAGGUUCGAGUCCUGACGAGGCAGCCC